CUUGGUCAUUUAGAGGAAGUAAAAGUCGUAACAAGGUUUCCGUAGGUGAACCUGCGGAAGGAUCAUUAUCGAAUCGUAGGCGAGGGUUGUCGCUGGCCUCUCGGGGCAUGUGCACGCCCGAGCCCUUGAAUCCCAAACACCACAUGUGAACCCACCGUAGGCCUUCGGGCCUAUGUCUUAUCAUAUAAUCUGAAUGUCUAAUAGAAUGUAAACCCAUUUCGUUGCCUUGAAAACGUAACGAAAGAAAACUAUACAACUUUCAACAACGGAUCUCUUGGCUCUCGCAUCGAUGAAGAACGCAGCGAAAUGCGAUAAGUAAUGUGAAUUGCAGAUUUUCAGUGAAUCAUCGAAUCUUUGAACGCACCUUGCGCCCCUUGGUAUUCCGAGGGGCAUGCCUGUUUGAGUGUCAUUAAAUCCUCAACCCCUCCGAUUCGUUUCGGUGGGGAUUGGACUUGGAGCGUGCUGGCGAAGGUCGGCUCCUCUUUAAAUGCAUCAGCGGAGAAAAUGCCUUUUGCGCCUCUGGCCGUUCAGCGUGAUAAUGAUGUUGCGCUGCGGUCGAGCUUAAGGUCCGCUUCCAAAGGUCCUCGGACAAAUAUACAUAUGACUUUUGACCUCAAAUCAGGUAGGACUACCCGCUGAACUUAAGCAUAUCAAUAAGCGGAGGA
rnacentral:rRNA from 1 species